rnacentral:tRNA from 1 species
UCCCGUGUGGCUCAGUUGGUAGAGCAUGGUGUUUGCAAUGCAAGGGUUGUGGGUUUGAUUCCCACUGGGAC